GCCCUGUGGUUACUGGACGCUGGUUUGUGCAUACAGUGGUUCAGGUGGUAGAAAUGGGCCAAAAGUGAUACUGUGAUUUAUGCGUGGAGUCUGUGAUUCCUGAGCAGCUUCCAUAGCCCGGUCACAGUUACACAC
ensembl:snoRNA